CAGAGAGGACUGAUUGAAAACCUCUCCCUCAUCUAACAGACUGUUAAACCCUCCUCUUCUGCUCUGUGGUGAGAGUUCUCUCACAGUCAGAGUUGAAUCCACUGCAGAUUGUCUAUGGUUGUGGACUGACUGACUUGUUUUAAUGUUGGAGGACAGCUCUUCCAUUGACUGCCAGCACCGUCCCUGGGCUGUUUGUGAAUGAUGGACAAAGGUGUCUGAAAUGGUUAAAUCACAUUCAGCAGCUUGAAGAAGAAUUGUACAACAAGUUUGGACUUGUAAUGUUUUAUCUCCAGGUAUCUGGGAGGAACAUUAAAUGCAUGCAGAGCUACACAGGAAGUCUAACAGGAGGAUGACCAGGGACCAGUUCACCCUGUUGUUGGAGGUCAUGACCUUUCUGUGGAUGUUAACUCUUUCCAGAGGAGACACUGAGGUGUCCUGUGUUUUUC